rnacentral:rRNA from 1 species
AGCGAACGCUGGCGGCAGACCUAACACAUGCAAGUCGAGCGAAGCCUUCGGGCUUAGCGGCGGACGGGUGAGUAACGCGUGGGAACGUGCCCUUUGGUACGGAAUAGCCCCGGGAAACUGGGAGUAAUACCGUAUGUGGUCGAGAGACGAAAGAUUUAUCGCCAAAGGAUCGGCCCGCGUUGGAUUAGGUAGUUGGUGGGGUAAUGGCCUACCAAGCCGACGAUCCAUAGCUGGUUUGAGAGGAUGAUCAGCCACACUGGGACUGAGACACGGCCCAGACUCCUACGGGAGGCAGCAGUGGGGAAUCUUAGACAAUGGGGGAAACCCUGAUCUAGCCAUGCCGCGUGAUCGAUGAAGGCCUUAGGGUUGUAAAGAUCUUUCAGUGGGGAAGAUAAUGACUGUACCCACAGAAGAAGCCCCGGCUAACUCCGUGCCAGCCGCCGCGGUAACAC